AUCGCUUCUCGGCCUUUUGGCUAAGAUCAAGUGUAGUAAACCUCUAAUUCAGUUUAUGAUUUGAAUUUAUCUUUGAACAUUUUAAGCCUUU
ensembl:snRNA U2 U2 spliceosomal RNA